rnacentral:sRNA from 1 species
AAAGGGUACUUUUACACAAGAGAUGUGU